UACGAAGGGGGCUAGCGUUGUUCGGAUUUACUGGGCGUAAAGCGCACGUAGGCGGAUCGAUCAGUCAGGGGUGAAAUCCCAGGGCUCAACCCUGGAACUGCCUUCGAUACUGGCGAUCUUGAGUCCGGAAGAGGUGAGUGGAACUCCUAGUGUAGAGGUGGAAUUCGUAGAUAUUAGGAAGAACACCAGUGGCGAAGGCGGCUCACUGGUCCGGUACUGACGCUGAGGUGCGAAAGCGUGGGGAGCAAACAGGG
rnacentral:rRNA from 1 species